CGAACGGAUUGGGUUACUUAGUGGCGCACGGGUGAGUAACACGUAUCCAACCUGCCGAUAACUCGGGGAUAGCCUUUCGAAAGAAAGAUUAAUACCCGAUGGCAUAAUAGAACCGCAUGGUUUGAUUAUUAAAGAAUUUCGGUUAUCGAUGGGGAUGCGUUCCAUUAGGCAGUUGGUGGGGUAACGGCCCACCAAACCUUCGAUGGAUAGGGGUUCUGAGAGGAAGGUCCCCCACAUUGGAACUGAGACACGGUCCAA
rnacentral:rRNA from 1 species